CUGAUACACUGUCUCACCUUUACGCAGGGGUGAUUGUUUAUCGGCAGGCAUCCUCGUUCCUGUUUUCAUCUCCUGUGUUUUGCUGUGACAAAGUUUGGAAACACUCCUCCACAGUUCACUGAACUCAGAUGUGCCUGCAGGAGGUUCGGACAUUGUUCCAUAUCAGAACGGUAACGGCGCAACGUCUGCUCAUAAUUGUCGUAAGAACUGUUCCGAUGAUGCUUCGUGGCUCCGAUGAGCACAGAUGAUACUCUUUUUCAAUGUUUGUUCAGGGUUUUUUUUUGCAAACGCUUUUGUUGUUUUCGUGCAGUAAAUCCGUUUAUUCGAAUUAGGCCGCCAUGUUUGCUGCAACGUCACGAAACUACGGAUGCCGGGUAGGAUUUUUCGCAGAUCUCCCCCACAACGUUUCCUCGAGGCAGAAAUAAUUAGCUCGAGCUUUUAGAAGGUGUGUGGGGGCCUGGAGGAGAAAGAGGAGGAGGAAGAGGAGAAUUGUAAGGGGGGGAUUUCUCCAGUUGUAUACCCCGUAGAGCCACUCUCUCCUGGGGUAAGGAUGACAGGAAGUUAGCCAGAUGGCACAGAGCAGGUCUGCAGCAUGUGACCUCCUCUCUGGAGAGGCAGGAAGCAAGGAGGAGAGGAGGGAGGGACAAAGAUGAGGAGGAGGAGGAGAAGAAGAAGAAGAAGAAGAAGAAGAAGGGGGGUGGGGGUGAGUGAGCUUAAGCGAAGGAGGUGAAGAGAUGGAAGAAAGAUGUGUGGAGUGGAGCUGACUGAGCCUCUCAUAUAUCAGUGUUACAAUUUGUUCCGCCAGUAAGACCAGGAGCUUUAGGAUUGUGAUUUAUGGUAAUACAUAUUGUAUAAAGGCGCAGUAAAUAACAAUUUCAUAUAAAUA